GUGCUCGCUUCAGCAGCACAUAUAGUAAAAUUGGAACAAUACAGAAAUUAUCAUGGUUCCUAUGCAAGGAUGACAUGCAAAUUUGUGAAGUGUUACAUAUAAAA